UACGGGGGGGGCAAGCGUUGUUCGGAAUUACUGGGCGUAAAGGGCUCGUAGGCGGCCAACUGAGUCGGAUGUGAAAUCCCCAGGCUUAACCUGGGAACUGCAUCCGAUACUGGAUGGCUUGAAUCCGGGAGAGGGAUGCAGAAUUCCAGGUGUAGCGGUGAAAUGCGUAGAUAUCUGGAGGAACACCGGUGGCGAAGGCGGCAUCCUGGACCGGUAUUGACGCUGAGGCGCGAAAGCCAGGGGAGCAAAGCGGGG
rnacentral:rRNA from 1 species